GUUNAGGCCGUGCUUUGUGCCGGUACGAUUCUCCUCAAGUCCACUUGAUUGUGGCUUCAGGCCCAGAGAGGGUGUAAGGCCCGUGGAGGCGAGUUGUCCGGUGCCCGGCACGUCCUUAGAGUCGGGUUGUUUGGGAAUGCAGCCCUAAGCGGGUGGUAAACUCCAUCCAAGGCUAAAUACUAGCACGAAUCCGAUAGCGAAGAAGUACCGCGAGGGAAAGUUGAAAAGAACUUUGAAGAGAGAGUUCAAGAGUACGUGAAACCGCUGAGAGGCAAACUGGUGGAGCUGAAAUGACUUUGAGGAAUUCAGCCCUUCGCAUGGGGGACAGUGCCGGUUGUGGGAUCUAACGACCUCUCCGGUGUUGCUUCUUCUCGCGUGAUAGGUGCACUUUCCUCUUAGCCGGACCACGACCAGCGAGCUGUCUUGUCUAAUAUUGGUGGAAGGUAGCGUCCGCUUCGGGGGACGUGUUAUAGACACUGAUUUGGAGCGAGUGGCGCGUUGGAUAACUUGAUGCCUGCCCUUUGGGCUCGUACGUUGUGCCUCUUUCUAGAGUGUCUCCGGCUUCACUGCUUCGGCAGGGGAGUUAGAGACGCUUUGGUUAGGGUCGGCCUCUGCGAUUGGCGUCUACAGUCGGUGGUUUCGAAGUAGGCAGUCCACCUGACCCGUCUUGAAACACGGACCAAGGAGUCUAACAUGUGCGCGAGUCAUUGGGCUCUACGAAACCUAAAGGCGAAGUGAAAGUGAAGAUCCAUUUUGGUGGAUUGAGGUAGGAUCCUGGGGUUACGUGCUCAGGCGCACUACCGGCCCGUCCGACAUGUCUUCAUGCGGGCGGAGCAAGAGCGUACACGUUGGGACCCGAAAGAUGGUGAACUAUGCUUGCGCAGGUCGAAGCCAGAGGAAACUCUGGUGGAGGACCGUAGCGAUUCUGACGUGCAAAUCGAUCGUCAAACGUGAGUAUAGGGGCGAAAGACUAAUCGAACCAUCUAGUAGCUGGUUCCCUCCGAAGUUUCCCUCAGGAUAGCUGGCACUCGGGAAAUGAAACAGUUUUAUCCGGUAAAGCGAAUGAUUAGAGGUAUUGGGACGAAACUGCUCUCAACCUAUUCUCAAACUUUAAAUGGGUAAGAUGCCCGACUCGCUCAAUNGGAGCCGGGCUUCCUUCUGAAUGUGAGU
rnacentral:rRNA from 1 species